rnacentral:rRNA from 1 species
GGCAAACGGGUGAGUAACGCGUUGGGCGACCUACCUUCGAGUGGGGGAUAACCUUCCGAAAGGAGGGCUAAUACCGCAUGACAUCCCGUGUUUGGAUACACGGACAUCAAAGCCGGGGAUCGCAAGACCUGGCGCUUGGAGAGGGGCCCGCGUCCGAUUAGCUAGUUGGUGAGGUAACGGCUCACCAAGGCUCCGAUCGGUAUCCGGCCUGAGAGGGCGGACGGACACACUGGAACUGAGACACGGUCCAGACUCCUACGGGAGGCGGCAGUGGGGAAUUGUUCGCAAUGGGCGCAAGCCUGACGACGCAACGCCGCGUGGAGGAUGAAGACUUUC